rnacentral:lncRNA from 1 species
ACGUAAUCGUAUAUCCAUUAAUUAGGAAUAGCAUAACAUAAUCAAUAAACACAUAUCACGUAAUCACAUAUUCAAUCAUUAUCAACAAGGCAUCUUAAUCAUGACAAUGUGACAAUGCUCUUAGACUCCUUAUAUGCAUGUGGUACCAAUCGUCAUCAUAAGUAUUAAUAUACUUUAAUCGUGCGGAGGACAAAGCUCCUAUAAAACGUGCGGAGGACAAAGCUCCUAAUAUUCGUGGUGAGGACUAAGCUCAAUGAUAUGCUAUGCAUGGACACAUAUGAACAAAACAACGUAAUCGACUUAUCAACAUGCAUCCAAUAAUUUGGAGCUAAACUUCAUCAUAUACUUAUGCACUUAGUUAAAUAACGAAAGCAGCAUAAACAAAUCAUAUAACAAGAUGAUAUCAUUAUAUCAAAGCACAUAAUUUGCAUCAUUAACACAUCUUCUUAUCUUGCAUGAAUAUACAAUAUAAUAGUUCAUAUUCCAUUGAUAUUAAU